rfam:Mitsuokella multacida DSM 20544 genomic scaffold Scfld0, whole genome shotgun sequence.
UACAGAAUAGCUCAGUGGUUCGAGCACAAGGCUUUUAACCUUGGUACGUGGGUUCAAAUCCCGCUUCUGAAA